UGAUGAUGAUGAUGAUGAUGAGUUGAAAUGGGAGGUUCUAGACUUACAGCUCUUACAAUGGAGAGUCAUCACCCAUCCACACUAUUGUCUAUGGAUUCCAGUGCUUCUUCUCAUGAUGAAUUGGAUUUGGAAAUGAAUCGCCAAGUCGUACUUUUGCGCCCUCCCGAUAUCAAUCUUCCCUUGUCUGCCGAGCGCAGCCCACCG
rnacentral:misc_RNA from 1 species